UCACGAACAUUGUUAAUGGUAUCAAAA
rnacentral:sRNA from 1 species